GGGAUUGCCUAGUAACGGCGAGUGAAGCGGCAACAGCUCAAAUUUGAAAUCUGGCCCUCCGGGGUCCGAGUUGUAAUUUGUAGAGAGUGCUUCGGGUGAGACCGCGGUCUAAGUCCAUUGGAACAUGGCGUCCCAGAGGGUGAGAAUCCCGUAUGUGACUGCGGCUCGAGCCCAUGUGAAGCCUCUUCGACGAGUCGAGUUGUUUGGGAAUGCAGCUCUAAAUGGGUGGUAAAUUUCAUCUAAAGCUAAAUACUGGCUGGAGACCGAUAGCGCACAAGUAGAGUGAUCGAAAGAUGAAAAGCACUUUGGAAAGAGAGUUAAACAGUACGUGAAAUUGUUGAAAAGGAAGCGCUUGCAACCAGACCUGUCCGUAGGCGAUCACCCGCUGUUCUCAGCGGUGCACUCGUUCUGCGAUCAGGCCAGCAUCGGUUCGGGCGGCCGGAUAAAGGCCUUGGGAAUGUAGCUCUCCUCCGGGGGAGUCUUAUAGCCCUCGGUGCAAUGCGGCCAGCCGGGACCGAGGACCGCGCUUCGGCUAGGAUGCUGGCGUAAUGGUUGUAAGCGACCCGUCUUGAAACACGGACCAAGGAGUCUAACAUCUAUGCGAGUGUUUGGGUGUCAAACCCAUGCGCGGAAUGAAAGUGAACGGAGGUGAGAACCCUUUGGGGCGCAUCAUCGACCGAUCCAGAUGUCUUCGGAUGGAUUUGAGUAUGAGCAUAGCUGUUGGGACCCGAAAGGCAAGUGCUCCCGUUUUUGAUUGAGUUGAAUCUUAGCUAACAUUUUGUGAUAGAUGGUGAACUAUACUUGAAUAGGGUGAAGCCAGAGGAAACUCUGGUGGAGGCUCGCAGCGGUUCUGACGUGCAAAUCGAUCGUCAAAUUUGGGUAUAGGGGCGAAAGACUAAUC
rnacentral:rRNA from 1 species